GUGCUCACUUCAGCAGCACAUAUACUAAAAUUGGAAUGAUACAAAGAUUAGUAUGACCCUUACUCAAGGAUGGCACACAAAUUUGUAAAGCAUUCCUUUUAUUU